UGAAAAUCAAGUGUCUGAAAUCCAAGGGACUAAAAGCUCUGGAUCACCUGUCAUAGUCCUCAAUCCCAACUCCAGGACAAAUUGAAAGCAACUUACAAUUGAGUUUUAAAGAAUUGAACUGAGAUCCGAGCCUCUGACCACCAGAGAUAUGAUAGUCUGCAUUUUGAGUCCAGUCAAUUCAGGAAACUCUUUAUGAAGCUUUGGAAUUCUUCAAUUUUUACACGUAGUCUGUAGAUCUCCUUCACUACCAACACCAACAACCUAGCUUGAGUGAAGAGUCAGAGUGACUACACAAUAAUUACAAAACCCUACAACACAGAGUUGAAGGAACUCAGCCUUAUUGUAAAGAACUUUUUUAUAGAAAUAAAUGUUUGAGAAUGACAGA
rnacentral:lncRNA from 1 species